AAAAAACUCCUAUUUUCGAGACAGUUGUAACUGUCUCGGAAGCAUGAUCAACUUUCUAUUUCUGAGACAGUUGCAACUGCCUUGGAAACAUGGUCAGUUUCAG
rnacentral:pre_miRNA from 1 species